UGGAGAUUCCUCCCCACCAGACAUCCAAGAAGGAGAAGCUCAUGUAUGAGAAGCUCCCUCAUUCCAGGAGAACCCUCCCAUCUCCAGCUCCUCUCCACCCUGAGGAAUCACCCCUUACCCUGGUGCAUUCCGAGCAGUGAAGCAGCUCCCGGUGGUUCAGCCGCUGGGAGAGGAAGAUCAGCUCUGCAGCCCUUCACCAAGCCCGGCCUGAGGAAUUUCUGGGCUCUGCUACUUCAUCCCAGCCCUUCUCCAGCCUCUCCAAGUCCACCCUCAUCCCUGCCAGCAGGCACAGCCGCUCCUGCUCAGCAGAGAGCUGGAAGUGCACAGUGGAAGUUGAGCAUCCUCAGGAACACAUCCAGACCCGUGGAAACACAUCCCUGAUGCUGCACAGGACCCCUGAGCAGGACGUGCUCCCAGAGCAGCCAGAGAGUGGUAGAAGAGGUGGGAACAAGGCUGGGAAGGGUGGGCUCAGCCCAGUGGAUCACAUUGCUGGAACAUACCCUGGAUCCGUGGCAUGAAGCAGGGGAAGGAUCAUCUUCAUGCCAGGACCUCAUUCGUUUCCAUUAAAAUAUCAUUUUUCCAAAGGGAGAAGUUUAAUUGUCAGGGAAAUUGUGGCAUUAAUUGUUGCAAAUUUGGAACACCAGGAGUGCUCUGAGGCCACAGGGCAGCAAAGAGCACGAGCUGUGAACAAAUUCCAGCGCCGGGCAGUGAUGGGGCACUUCCCACUCCCACUGAGCCAAGGAGGAUGGACCCUGUAGCCAAAGCCUGCGGAUUUGAUCCACUCCAGCAAAACCAGGCUGCUUUGCCUCAGAAUCCCUGCUCUGCCCUGCUGGUGGCACAGCUGCUGAUGUGUCAAGGGACAGCUCUGCAGCCUUGGAGCCCAGCUCUGCUGCUGACCCUCAUUUCCCAGCAUGGCCACUGAACAACCCAGGAGAUUCCUACCCACAGGAGUUUCCUUCCCACAGGAAGGUGGGUCCCACAAGUGGGUUUGGUGGCAGGGAAGUCUCCUGAUGCCUCCUGCUCCUUCCUCCUGUGCUGCUCAGCUGAUGGGACAGAAUGGGUUUGUGUCAUUUCCUCAAGGAGGAAAUGUGCUGUUCCAAAGAGGGCUUGGAGCUCCUUCAGCAGUGAGUCAUGACUUUGUGUAUAAGCUAAACACUGGAGCAGAAUCAUAAAUAAAUAAAACUGCCUUCAUAAACUGGAAAUUAAA
rnacentral:lncRNA from 1 species